GGAGAGGUGCCCGAGAGGCCGAAGGGAACGGUUUGCUAAAUCGUCGUAGGGCAACCUACCGAGGGUUCGAAUCCCUCCCUCUCCGCCA
rnacentral:tRNA from 1 species